rnacentral:rRNA from 1 species
UACGAAGGACCCGAGCGUUAUCCGGAUUUAUUGGGUUUAAAGGGUGCGUAGGCGGAACAGUAAGUCAGUGGUGAAAGCCUGUUGCUUAACAACAGAACUGCCAUCGAUACUGCUGAUCUUGAGUACAUAUGAUGUGGGCGGAAUGUGCCAUGUAGCGGUGAAAUGCUUAGAUAUGGCACAGAACACCGAUUGCGAAGGCAGCUCACAAAACUGUUACUGACGCUGAGGCACGAAAGCGUGGGGAUCAAACAGG